rnacentral:lncRNA from 1 species
UCAGAGGAUUGUUUCCAACUUGCCAUAGCCCAUAGGCGCUAGCUUAUCAGAUCCGGGUGAUCGGGAAAAUUUAACUUUUUACUACUCUUACGAGUUACGAGCAGUUAAAAUAGAUUUGUCAUUCAAUAUCUAUAACAGGUGGAUCCUCACGAGUCUAUGAUAUGUUGAUCCAGUGAUAAAUCUGUAAUGAACUAAUGAAUAUUUAUAAAAGUGGUAAAAAGUUAAAUGCCCCGGUGAAUCGGUGCAAGCAGUGAGACAUGGAGAUGUCGACCGGAAUCAUCUCUGUUUUGUGAAUUUGUACCUCCGUUCUGGAUUCAGUUCAAUAUGUGAGACUUGUAAUAUGAUGGGUAUGAACCGUGUGUUUACGGUUCCAGUUACCGUAGUAACCGGCCUCUCCGUGGAGGUGCAGUAUGGUAUGUAUUGUGGUUUUGAGUUUAAAUUUAAGAAUGAUUUAAAAUUUUUGAGGAAAUUUAAUAAAAAAUGGUAUAUGUUAUAUAGGUUGAUAUAUUGGUAUAGUUGUGUCAAACAAAUUCAUGAAAACAUGUAUUUUUAGCGUAAUUAAAAAUCAUAACUGAGAAGUUCAGCGAAA